CAAGGGAUAUUGCGCAAUGGGCGAAAGCCUGACGCAGCAACUCCGCGUGGAGGACGAAGGCCUUCGGGUCGUAAACUCCUUUUCUGGAAGGAUAAGGUCUAGCCUAAGGGGUAGGCUUGAAGGUACUCCAGGAAGAAGAACCGGCUAACUACGUGCCAGCAGCCGCGGUAAAACGUAGGGUUCGAGCGUUAUCCGGAAUUACUGGGCGUAAAGGGCGUGUAGGCGGUGGGGGAAGUCGGACGUAAAAGCUCCUGGCCCAACUGGGAGAGGCCGUUCGAAACUCCGCCACUAGAGGCUAGUAGAGGCAAGUGGAAUUCCCGGUGUAGUGGUGAAAUGCGUAGAUAUCGGGAGGAAGACCAGAGGCGAAGGCGGCUUGCUGGGCUAGGCCUGACGCUGAGACGCGAAAGCCAGGGGGAGAGAACGGGAUUAGAAACCCCGGUAUUCCUGGCAGUAAACGAUGUCAACUAGGUGCGUGGGGUAACCAAUCCCUGCGUGCUGCCGCCAACGCAGUAAGUUGACCGCCU
rnacentral:rRNA from 1 species